UACGAAGGGGGCUAGCGUUGCUCGGAAUCACUGGGCGUAAAGGGUGCGUAGGCGGGUCUUUAAGUCAGGGGUGAAAUCCUGGAGCUCAACUCCAGAACUGCCUUUGAUACUGAAGAUCUUGAGUUCGGGAGAGGUGAGUGGAACUGCGAGUGUAGAGGUGAAAUUCGUAGAUAUUCGCAAGAACACCAGUGGCGAAGGCGGAGC
rnacentral:rRNA from 1 species